rnacentral:rRNA from 1 species
GUCCUGGCCUUAAACGAUGGAUGCUUGGUGUCUGGAGUUUUAUAGUCUCCGGGUGCCGUAGCUAACGCGUUAAGCAUCCCGCCUGGGGAGUACGGUCGCAAGACUGAAAACUCAAAAGGAAUUGACGGGGACCCGCACAAGCGGUGGAGCAUGUGGUUCAAUUCGACGCAAACGCGAAGAACCUUACCUGGGCUAGAAAUGCCUCUGACAAACUCCAGAGAUGGAGCUUUCUAGGGAAACCUAGACGGAGUGCAAGGUGCUGCAUGGCUGUCGU